rnacentral:rRNA from 1 species
UACGUAGGGGGCAAGCGUUGUCCGGAAUCAUUGGGCGUAAAGAGCGUGUAGGCGGCUUGGCAAGUCUGGUGUGAAAUCUUGCGGCUCAACCGCAAGCGGUCACUGGAAACUGCCUCGCUAGAGUCCGGAAGAGGAGAGUGGAAUUCCUGGUGUAGCGGUGAAAUGCGCAGAUAUCAGGAAGAACACCCGUGGCUAAGGCGGCUCUCUAGUACGGUACUGACGCUGAGACGCGAAAGCGUGGGGAGCGAACAGG